UUCGUGCCAGCAGCCGCGUUAAUACGAAGGUGGCAAGCGUUAUUCGGAAUCAUUGGGCUUAAAGGGCACGCAGGCGGAACAGUGUGUGUUGUGUGAAAUCCCCCGGCUUAACCGGGGAAUUGCACAGCAAACUGCUGUUCUUGAGGCAGGUAGGGGUGCAUGGAACUCUUGGUGGANCGGUGGAAUGCGUAGAUAUCAAGAGGAACGCCAGAGGUGAAGACGGUGCACUGGGCCUGUCCUGACGCUGAGGUGCGAAAGCGUGGGGAGCGAACGGGAUUAGAUACCCCGGUAGUCCACGCCGUAAACGAUGUCUACUAGGUCGUGGGUGUUCUGACACAUUCACGGCCGGAGCAAAAGUGUUUAGUAGACCGCCUGGGGAGUACGGCCGCAAGGUUAAAACUCAAAUGAAUUGACGGGGGCUCACACAAGCGGUGGAGCAUGUGGAUUAAUUCGAAGCAACGCGCAGAACCUUACCUGGGUUUGACAUGCUUGUAUGCCUUCUCUGAAAGGAGUUAGGCUGCCUUCGGGUGAAACUUGCACAGGUGCUGCAUGGCUGUCGUCAGCUCGUGUCGUGAGAUGUCGGGUUAAGUCCUUUAACGAGCGAAACCCUUGCCGUUAGUUGCCAGCGAGUAAUGUCGGGGACUCUAACGGGACUGCCGGUGUUAAACCGGAGGAAGGUGGGGAUGACGUCAAGUCCUCAUGGCCUUUAUGCCCAGGGCUUCACACGUGCUACAAUGGCAAUUACAGAGCGACGCGAUACCGCGAGGUGGAGCAAAUCGCAAAAAAAUUGCCUCAGUUCGGAUUGCAGGCUGGCAAUUCGCCUGCAUGAAGUCGGAAUCGCUAGUAAUCGCGUAUCAGCAAUGACGCGGUGAAUGUGUUCCUGAGCCUUGUACACACCGCCCGUCAAGUGAUGGAAGCCGGGAGUACCCGAAGUCGGGUUGCUAACCUUUGGGAGGCGCCUGCCGACGGUAAGUUC
rnacentral:rRNA from 1 species